GCCUCGGUAGCUCAGUUGGUGGAGCGCCUGGCUGUUAACCAGGUGGUCGCAGGUUCAAGUCCUGCCCGAGGCG
rnacentral:tRNA from 1 species